rnacentral:rRNA from 1 species
UACGUAGGGGGCAAGCGAUACUCGGAAUCACUGGGCGUAAAGCGCAUGUAGGCGGUUUGGUAAGUCUGUUGUGAAAGCUCCCGGCUUAACUGGGAGAGGUCAACGGAAACUACCAGGCUAGAGUGCGGUAGAGGUAGCUGGAAUUCCCGGUGUAGCGGUGAAAUGCGUAGAUAUCGGGAGGAAUACCUAUGGCGAAAGCAGGCUACUGGACCGUCACUGACGCUGAUCUGCGAAAGCUAGGGGAGCAAACAGG